rnacentral:rRNA from 1 species
CCUACGGGCAGCAGCAGUGGGGAAUAUUGGACAAUGGGCGAAAGCCUGAUCCAGCCAUGCCGCGUGUGUGAAGAAGGCCUUCGGGUUGUAAAGCACUUUCAGUGGGGAAGAAAGCCUUGGGGCUAAUACCCUCGAGGAAGGACAUCACCCACAGAAGAAGCACCGGCUAACUCCGUGCCAGCAGCCGCGGUAAUACGGAGGGUGCGAGCGUUAAUCGGAAUUACUGGGCGUAAAGCGCGCGUAGGCGGUCUGAUAAGCCGGUUGUGAAAGCCCCGGGCUCAACCUGGGAACGGCAUCCGGAACUGUCAGGCUAGAGUGCAGGAGAGGAAGGUAGAAUUCCCGGUGUAGCGGUGAAAUGCGUAGAGAUCGGGAGGAAUACCAGUGGCGAAGGCGGCCUUCUGGACUGACACUGACGCUGAGGUGCGAAAGCGUGGGUAGCAAACAGGAUUAGAUACCCCAGUAGU